rnacentral:rRNA from 1 species
CCGGUAGGGCCAUGGUAUAAGUCUGUAUCCAGCAACGCCGCGUGUAGUGAUGAAGGCCUUCGGGUUGUAAAGCUCUUUCAGUAGGGAAGAACAGGUGGGGUUUAUACCCCCGUGUCUUGACCUAACCUACUGAAGAAGGCCGGGCUACUCCGUGCCAGCAGCCGCGGUAAUAACUACGUGCCCCAGCCCCGGUAAUACGUACGUGCCAGCAGCCGCGGUAUAAAUUUUGUGCCAGCAGCCGCGGUAAUAAUUUUGUUGGGGCAGCGGCGGUGAUAUGUAGAUUUGUUUUGUCCGGGUAUGGUGAUAGGUGUCGGUGUG